rnacentral:tRNA from 1 species
GCCGGAGUAGCUCAUAAGGUAGAGCAGUUGAUUUGUAAUCAUCAGGUGGCGGGUUCGAGUCCUGCAGCCGGCACCA